UUCGGAUUGUAGUCUGCAACCCGACUACAUGAAGCUGGAAUCGCUAGUAAUCGCGGAUCAGAAUGCCGCGGUGAAUACGUUCCCUGGCCUUGUACACACCGCCCGUCACACCAUGGGAGCCGGUAAUACCCGAAGUCAGUAGCCUAACCGCAAGGGGGGCGCUGCCGAAGGUAGGAUUGGCGACUGGGGUGAAGUCGUAACAAGGUAAC
rnacentral:rRNA from 1 species